rnacentral:pre_miRNA from 1 species
UGUAGAAGUUGUUGCGGAAGUAGAUGUUGUAGAAGUCGUUGUCGAAGUAUGUGUUCUUCUACAACACCUACUUCCACAACGACUUCUACCUUCUACA